AUGGGUCCUUUGAGAAUACGCCUCCUCAACGACCAAUGGUUAACAACGGUUCUGUGGAGCGGUUUUGUGAGAAUAGUUAAUAAUGAGAUCAUCAUUUUAGGAAAUGAUGCAGAACUGGGUAGUGAUCUUGAUCCCAAAGAAGCUCAAAAGGCACUUGAAAUAGCCGAAGCUAACUUGAGUAAGCCGAGGGUACGAAAGAUUUGGUUGAAGGAAGCUCACUCUCGGACGAGCUAG
rnacentral:rRNA from 1 species